GGUGUAGGGGUUAACAUGCCUGCCUGUCACGCAGGAGAUCGCGGGUUCGAUUCCCGUCGGAA
rnacentral:tRNA from 1 species